ACCCACCGUCUCACUCUCAAAGUUUCCCGUUAACACUUGCCGGCGGAGACCGUCACAGUCGGUUGCCCUGACCACGUUGUCCUCGCCGACCUUCCGGUGGCCAAGGGCAUUGGGUCAGCCACCGCAGCAUCGCUUGUCAAGACAAUCGGUCGCCGAUCCCGUCCUCAGCUCGGUGAACGUGUUCGCUGUGAUUUCCUGAUUGCUAUCUAAGGAAGACUCGUUCGGGAUUGUCUCACGACCAAAUUAAGCUCUUACAUUCCUUAAACUCCAUGUAGUAUGGUUCUAUGUUAUGACGAGAUGGGGAAUAAGAAAGAUGACUUAGGGGUGGGCGAUUGUUAGCGUGAGUCGUGACCGUAGUUAGUGAGCUGCUGCAAAUCAGGACUACUGUGACAAAAACAGACAAGAUCUUCAGUGUUCAUACAUGUAUCUGCAUUGUUUGACUUGGUGUAUUUAGUUUUCAUACUUAGCUUUUGGUGUUAUAUAUAUUAAUAUAUAUUCUCCGGUUUGGAGAAGAAGAUGGAUAGAUGAAAAUUCCCAAAACCUUCUCCUUCUUUCUGACUGCGAUAUCGAUUUGCAAAGAGGAAAGCAGUUCAAUGUUUGCAAAUCCAAUUGAAAUUGUAAUGCGACAAUCACAAUCACGAUGAAACUUGCUAGGCAUAUCCAUCUUUUAUUACUGAUUUAGAGACCAAUGUCUAUCUGAUUUAGAUAUCAAUUUGCUGUCUUUAUAUUUGGAUCAAGUGAAGCUUGCAAAAAUCCAAAAGGCAAAUUACUUUGUUUGCUUGGGACAGCAAUAGGGAAUGAAUCAUAGUAGUUAUAAUAUUUUUUUUUUCAAUAUAAUUAGGAUAGACAUGGUAGGGCAUUUAUACUGAGUAUUGCGUCUUGCUUUUCUGGUUUUUCACUUUUUUUUCUCAACUGCCAUGUAGCUUUUGGUUUCUGGCUUCUCUUCUUUUUACUGAGACCUAUCUUCACUUUUUUUCAGCUACUUCGUAUAUGUAAUUUUGCUAACGGAGUCUUCGGUAACUCAUUUCAUAUAAAAAUAUUUUGUAGACAAUGUCUAUUGGAAGCAUGUUGUGCACCACAUCGAAGCAUGUAAGGUUGUACUGCAUGGACAAGUUAAUGUUAUCUUAAAUGUUAUUGUUUGGAACAUGGAAACACUACAGACCGAAAGCACACUGGAAGAUCACAUGAUGAUUGUUACUGAUGUUUGAUUUAGAACAAAUCUCCUGAACAGAAUAUGGACAAGUAUGAUGGUAGAGUUUCUAUGAGUGCAGAGUCGAUGAGUAGAAUAGAGGCAUUGUUUGAAGCUGAACUUGAGAGGUUGGGGCUAAACAGGAGUACUUCUACGUUGGAGAGAAGAUUAACUGAUCUUGAUGAGAUUCCUAGUCUAAACCAAUUCUUGCGGGCUAUUUGUCAUGCACACCUUCGGUCAGAAACCAUGUUGCUUCUUCACCAUCAAAGUUUUGAUUUCUCUCAGUUUUGACAGCCAUAACAUCAGCAACUAGAACUUACCCGCCAAAUGGUCACAAAACAUUACUAGACACUUCUGUUAUUUGUAUAUAGAGAACAGCUUUGGUUGGAGUAUCAUACAUGAAGAUGUGUACAUACAUGAAACAGCUUCAAUUAUAUAUUUUGUCCAGUAACGUUUGU